UCCCAGCUGCCCUGCUCUUUUGCAGCAGUCUGGAGUUGGGGCUGCAGCUCAGCUCUGGUGCAGAGUCCCUAAUGUGAUAACAUUACAAGGAAUUAUCAAGUGAAUGCACCUGGCUUAGAGAGCUCCAAGAAGGCAAGUGAGUGCAAAAAAGGAAGGCAAGGAGCUGCUGGUUUAUGAAAUUAAAAAGUUCAUGGGUGCCAAAUCCAUGCGCUAGGAAGAAUCUGAAGAGAUGGAAGAAGUCUCAGCAACGUUUUAUCAGCAGAGCCUCAUCUCUUUCACGUCCUCAAAGGAAAAACGUCCUUUCACCACUGAAGGCUGGGAGCAUUGAUACCAGUGCUGCUAGAUGCUGGGGGCAAGAGCGAUGUGGUCUGGUCCUGUGGAUGCUGGUGCUGCGUGGAGAUGCUUGGAAACCCUGCUUUGGGGCCAGCUGCAAUGCUUCCUUUCAAUGGUUCCUUGAGAAGAUGACAGUGGAAAAGCCAGCCCUGACAUGGCAGAUCUGGAAUGGAAAGUGAAGGUGUUCCUUUGCAAGCAUCAAAACAGUUUCAACUUUACCAAAAAUGCUUCUCCUGAAUUAUUGGGUCUUUAAAUCAAAAUACCUUCUCAGUAGAUGCAAUAAUGCUGGAGAAAAAGUGAUAGAGCAUGGAAAACAUCCUCAUGUCCUUAAUGAUCCUUAUGGGUCCCUUCCAACAUGGGGUGUUCCAUGAUCUACAUGAGUUCUGUAGGAUGGAAGGGAAUGCUGCACAUGGGAAUGUAAGGAGGAACAGUUAUUUGCACAGCUCUUUGAGAUCCUUGAAGGAAAACCCUGGAGAGAUAUAAGGUAUUAUUACAAGGGCUGUAAGUUCUUUUCAGGCAGUUAAAGGGAUAAUAAAUUCAUUGCCCAGGAGAUUGGGUAGUUUAAGUUCUGUGCAGAAUAUGGUAAAAAGGUAAGGCUGCUGCAGACCGGGGGCUUAAAGGCUGAUGCUGAGCAGGAGGGCAGUGCAGGCUGGGUUAUCCUGGUUCUGGGUUAAAGCCAGUGGGAUCAAAGAGGAGUCUGAGAGGAGUCGGUGCAUUCCAUGUGCGUGGAUCCCAUCGCCAUGGAUGGGGCUGAGCUGCUGGGUGGGUGCGUGGGGCUGGGAGCAGCAGCACGGCCCUGGGGAUGUGUGCUUCUGGAGCUGGAGGAAGGGCUGUCCUCCCAGCAAUUUGUCGGCAUUUAAUUAUGUUGUAGUGAAACAGUUUGGCCCGAGCUCUCAUUUGAAUUUCCCUGCCUUCAUCUCGCAGUCAUCGGGCUCUCCUCGUGUCUCUGGUGGCAGAUUAACGAGGCCUUUAUUACCUGCCAUUGUCUCCCCGUGAAGGUUUUUAUCUCUUCCAGUCAAGUCACUUCUCCAUCUCUGAUAAACUAACGGAUGGAGCUCUCAUGUCUCCCCGGGGAGUGAUGGAUCAGUGCUCUCUGUACACUGUAUCCUCCAUUGCUCUGCACUGGGGGAAGCUUUCCGCUCCACGUUCUGCCCUUCUUUGUUGCCAUACAUCUCUCCUCAGAUCUUUGGGCUUCCUGCACAUUACAUCAGUAUUAAUUUGAUUUUUCGUAUCAAGAUUAUGGAGGAAAAUUGAGUCCAAGCCUGGAAAUGUGGAAGAAGCACCGCUUGUGCCUCCCACCCUCGUGCAGUGAUUCCUCUUCCCAAGGAGCCGCCAGAAAGCUGCUGCUUAAUCCAUUUAACACGUGCUCUGCUGAUAUCGUAUAGAGCUAAUUUUUUAAUCAGAAGGUUGCGAGAUACAAAGUCAAACCUCUUACAACAGCCUAAAUAUAUUACAUCUCUGCAGCUACCCUUAUCAACCGGACCCGUAAUCUGAUCAAAGAAGGAAAUCAGAUUUGUCCGACAAGACCUAUUUUCCAUGAAAGCCGCGUUGACUGAUGUUAAUUAUAUUUCUCGCCUUUAAUUCUUUAUCACUUGGAUCGUGUAUCAACUUCUGCUUCGCCGGGGCCAGACGUCUGCUGUCCUCGAUUCCCUGGUUUGGCCACCAGAAGGGUGGAUGUGGUUCAUGGGGAUGGGUUGGGGUUGGAACUGGGGGAUCUCGGAGCUCUUUUCCAACCUCCUCCACCGUUCCCACUGAAUGCAAAGGAGAUCAAUCCGUCUUUGCCAACGGUGGUGCAAAUCUGCUGCGCCCCUGCAGUCCCCAUAUUGCUUUCCCUGGGAGCUCCCAUGCACCAGCAGCAAUCUGCUGCCUGCCAGAGCUCCGGAUUUUCCUACCUCUCCUGAUAAGAACUAACCCAGCGUUUUACAACUGUAUAUCUGAAAUUAGUAGCAGCUUAAUCUCCCUCUGCUGGAUCACUCAGAGGUGUAAUUGUGCAGAAAAAAAGGGUAUUAAAAUGCAAAACGCUUUCCUGGUACUUUUUCAUGUUAAAUCCCUUCUUCCUUCUAUUCUUUUAAUUUUACAAGAGGGUUUUUGCUAUUUUUUCCCCCUUUUUCCCCACAUGCAUGUGUCUGUGUUUCUUCAUAAAGAGAAUGAGCUGGGCAUACAGAGAGAAUAAUUUCAAUUUCGACAUAAAUCUCAGAAAUGAAUACUUAAAUGCAAGCAGAAAAAAAAAUAAUACAUUCUUACACCUUUAAUUUCCUCUCUAUGAAGUAUAAUGAAAAAGCCUGAUUAUUUUUAAUUCUUCCCUUUAAUAAUUCAGCAGCGGAGUGAUUUAAAGCAGGGGACGAUAAUUACCUUUUCACUUCCCUGGUAAAUGGAGUUUUAAUAGAAAUGGAAGCUCAAACGCUGGAAUUA